rnacentral:tmRNA from 1 species
GGGGGCGAAAUAGUCUCGACGUAGGUAGUCGGGGUAAGAGUAGCGAGCCGAGGACCCGAGCCUCGUAAAAAGCGGGAAAAGCACAAACGCCAAGAACGAAUACGCUCUAGCCGCCUAAUAGUGCGGCUACGUUCCUCCGGAUUUUUCCCGUCGAUCCGGUAAGGGGCGUCAACGAGGCGGGAUAUCCUUUAGGCUGACGCCUGCAGGCCUAAAGGGAAAACCUGCCGGCUGGUCUUCUCCGAACCCUGCCUUCGGGGGUCGAGAAGGCGAGACUUAAAGCGGAGGAUACGCUCGUAGAAGCUCUUAUCCGGGCACUUGCGGACCCGGUUGCGAAACCGGCGCCUCCACCA